rnacentral:ncRNA from 1 species
AAUUCAGUUUAAAAGUUUUUGGAAUUUCGUAUUUUGGGGUUUCGCAUUCGACGAUCGAAUUUUCAGGGCAUUACAACCCGAAACCAACACUGGUGGGUAGGUAGAGAAUACCUAGGGGUGCGAGACAACUCUAUCCAAGGAACUCGGCAAAAUAGCCCCGUAACUUCGGGAGAAGGGGUGCCCCCUCGCAAAAGGGGGUCGCAGUGACCAGGCCCGGGCGACUGUUUACCAAAAACUCAGGUCUACGCAAAAUCAUAAGACCAUGUAUGGGGGCUGACACCUGGCCUGUGCCGGAAGGUCAAGGAAGUUGGUGAACUGAUGAUAGGGAAGCCGGUGACUGAAGCCCCGGUGAGCGGCGGCCAUAACUAUAGUGGUCCUAAGGUAGCUGUUGAUGCAAAAAACACACACUGGCCAGAGAGAUUUG